GACGAACGCUGGCGGCGUGCUUAACACAUGCAAGUCGAACGGAAAGGCCCUGCUUUCGUGGGGUGCUCGAGUGGCGAACGGGUGAGUAACACGUGAGUAACCUGACCUUUAUUUUGGGGUAACUUCAGGAAAGUGGGGCUAAUAUCGGAUAGGAGCUGCUCCUCCAGGGAAAGGAGUGGAAAGUUUCGGCGGUUGGGGAUGGAUUCGCGGGUUAUCAGCUUGUUGGUUGGGUAGGGGCUUACCAACGAGGUGACCUGUAGCCGGCCUGAGUGGGUGAAGGGCCACACUGGGCCUGAGAGACGGCCCAGACUGCGACGGGAGGAAGCAGUGGGGAAUCUUGCACCAUCGGCGGAAGGCUGAUGAAGCAACCCCGCGUGUUGGAAGGCGGCCUUCUGGUUGUAAACAGCUUUCGCAUGUAACGAAGCCUGAGUGACGGUAAUGGGUAAAGAAGCACCGGCUAACUUCGUG
rnacentral:rRNA from 1 species